CACUUAGGAACACCACUGCUUAAAGAAGAAGCAAAGGAAGCAGAAACUGGCAGGAAGAGAAGCUGAGCUUCCACAUCGUUGCAGGGAGGCCUCAGCCCAUCCCAUAGGAAGUUCCAAAGCUGGACUGGCCUUCAGAGUGGUCCGGAGUGCAGGAGAAAGAACCAGCUCUUUGAAAUUCCUCUUGGACCAGUCACUGAAUACAAGUUGCUCCUGGGGAAGUAGCUGUAACCUUUGGAAGUUUUGGACGUGCAACAUCAGAACAGGCCCAGAGAUCUUUAGUUCAAUCUCUUCCCAAGCACUUUUCCUGGACAAGGCUGAGGACUUCUUUGAUCACACCUACUCCUGACAUCUGAGCGGGAAAACAAGUGUCUUAUAUUGUUUUGUGCCAGUCCCAAGCCAGCUCAUUUGCCACACAUUUACUAAAUGCCAACUACGCAAUAGCAAUUGCACCAGGAGAAGCACAUGCAAACGCGUUGGUCCUGGGAUCGAGUCCUGAAUGGGGCUCCCCGCAUGGAGCCUGCUUCUCCCUCUGCCUGUGUCUCUGCCUCUCUCUGCGUGUCUCUCAUGAGUGGAAUAAAAUAAAAUCCUAAAAAAAACAAAAAACAAAACAAAAAAACAAGAAAACAACCCAAGAACCAAUUGUUUCUGGACGCUUUGGAGGCUCUAUCUGACGCAAGAGUUUCAUCUAGUAUGUGGAUGAUGACAUAGGGCGAGACACUGACCGUCAGACACAGCAGAGCUCCAUGAACAACGCGUCCAUGAGGAUGAGCCCUAUUUGGUUUCUCCUGCCUGCAGUGGUUUCUGAACUUGUCUGCUGGGGUACGUUCUGGGGAAUGAACAGAGCUGAUAUGGAACAUUCCCCUUCUGCGCUUAAACUGGUGAGCCACUGAAUGUCACCGGCACUUGCAGGGCUUGUUGGGAGCUUCGAGAACAUCUAGCCAACUAGCUCAUGGAACAGAUGAUGACCCCAAGGCUUAACAAGGCCCUGGGCCACACUGCAUAGUGGGGCAGGUGCCUUGAUCCUGGCUGCUUCCGAGCUGAGGGACCUCGGGCAAGUUACUGAGUGCUUCACUUUAUCUGUAAAAUGGGGAUUGUAACUGCCAACUUUAUUGGAUUGUUAUGAGGAAUAAGAUAAUAUUCUCAAUUGCUUAGAACUGUUUGUGCCUUUGUGAACUGUUAUUAUAACUAUUAAUGUGUGAUUGCUCAAGGUUUUACAGCUAAAUAGAGGCUGGGCAUAUCAAGAGAGACAGGGAAGGCAUGAAACACAUUCCACGUUGCUGCCAGGAGGAUCCUGCUUGCGUGGAACUCACCAACGCCCAGUUAUGGCAGAGAGCUGUUGAAAAACAGCUGUCCAGCCCCGAGAAGGGAGAGGAAUGCCCCAGGAUUAAAGGCCUUGCAUUCCCAAAGUUACCCAACAUCCUUCUCAUUCUCUGAUUCAGCAAACUGUUGCCUUUAUUGGUGGCAGCUGUGCAAUUAGGUGACAAAGGUCUCCAUGGCAAAGCAUCCGGGUACCACAUGAAAUUAAACACACAUUUUCUGUGCCAGCCAAGACCUUGCAAAAAUAUAAAAACAAAACAAAUUUUCCAGCAGAUGUAGAGAACAGAUCCAAUUAGCUUCUUGUUUCUGAACAGCCAGCUGUCCAGAAAUAGGGUGAGUGUUCCAAAGCAGACAAACCAACCACCACCCCCAACAACAAAUAGCCAAGAAGCAGUAAGAGCAACGAGAAACCCAGGUGGCGCAAGAAGUCAGAUGAGGACGUGGAUCUCGACAGGGAGAAAUUUGAAACAUCCAAGAGACACUGUCCUAGAGAAAAGACCAGAGAAGUGGAAGGACAACGGGUAUAUUCCAUAAUGACGCCCGUUAUACAGGAAUUCAGGCCUCCUUCAGAACAACACAAAGAAACACCUCUGCUAAAUGCCUCGAGUGCUGUGGUCAGCAGACCUGCUUGGCUACUUGGCACAAGCCAUCAGAGGAAAUCAGUGCCACUCUCAACCUUCUGGGGCUUCCAAAGUCCCCUCCGUGCUUAGAGACAACAGGCCAACCCUGGGGCCCAGGUCUCUCUAUUCAGCAUCCAGACUGAGCCUUCAGGACGCUGUCCAGCUCCUCCCCGGCCUCCUCCUCGGCCUUCCCAUCAAGCUCAGAAUAGACGGAAACUCCUCUCCGAGGCUUGCAAGGCCCACAUGCUCUGCUUUUCCCGGGGAAGGGCAGAUACAAGCAGAAAGAUAAGAUGCUUAAUUCCCCUGGUAGCCUCCGUGAGGCCAGGACUCCAUCUGUGUGUCUGCAGCACCGAUAGGGCCUGGUGUUGGGGAAGUAUCAUCAAAACUCAAUCUCCUGCUGACCCAGAAAACCUCUCCACCAAGUUGCCUUCUACACAGCAAUGAUUACCGCUGCAGGUGGCUUCCAGGACGAUUUGGCCAUUCAUUCUCAGCUCUUCCUGUCUAGGUGCUGAUGGCCCUCAGGGCUGGAUCUGGGCAGGGUAGAGUUUUCCUCUUAAACCGUGUCCUCAGCCUUCUUGCUGCUGCCUUUUAUGCGUCCACAGCCAGCAUUAUUCUGUGCGCCUCACUGGCCGUGUUGGGUGCACUGCCCGGGGAACCUUUCUGUACUCCUGCUGGUCAGCAACCCCCCUCCGCCCCGAGCCUGCAGUGACCCUGUAUGUCUUCCAUCAUGCAGUCACCCAGGAGCCCAGAAUACAGUCAUCUAUCAAUAAGUGUGAAAUGAACAAAUUCACCAGGAAAAACUUUUAUCUCGUGUCAUGUUUCUUUUCGAUAGCACUUGUCACCAUGACACUGGUCUACGGUGAUACAACCACCUUUCCACUGGCUGAAUUUCUCCACAAGGAGAGGACAUGGGAAGGGUAGAUGCUUUCCCAUGUGCUGAGAAGGGUAGGCUACGAUCUUAGAAAAUGAGGUAGGAUUCUUCUCUGAUAUUAGAGUCUUAAGAGAACAGGAAAUACUGUUGUUGCAUCCAGAGAUUGAAGCGAUGUCGUCAAGGAAGUCCAUCAGGGUCCGCCUGGCCUUUCUAGCCGCCUCCACAAACACCGACGCAGCCCAGAGGGCUCUUCACAGGCUGCCCGAUCCGGAUUCAGUGUUCCAAGACAAGCACACCUCUGACCAUGACCACCCGAGAGAUAGGACAUUCUGUAUGGAAGAGAGGCUAUCUAGCAUAAUAUUCGCUUGCCUAGGGCACCCUUAAUCAUCGACUCCCUCAUCAGACAACAAAGACUCAUGAAUUAAAAAUCUAUUUUUUUUAACCAAAUGA